UCCCUCUUAGCUCAGUUGGUAGAGCGCGUCACUAGUAUCACCUAGCAUUGCAUGUAAUGACGAGGUCAGUCGUUCAAGUCGGCUAGAGGGAA